rnacentral:rRNA from 1 species
UACGUAGGGCGCAAGCGUUAUCCGGAAUUAUUGGGCGUAAAGAGCUCGUAGGCGGUUUGUCGCGUCUGCUGUGAAAACUCGGGGCUUAACCCCGGGCCUGCAGUGGAUACGGGCAGACUAGAGUGCGGUAGGGGAGACUGGAAUUCCUGGUGUAGCGGUGAAAUGCGCAGAUAUCAGGAGGAACACCGGUGGCGAAGGCGGGUCUCUGGGCCGUAACUGACGCUGAGGAGCGAAAGCGUGGGGAGCGAACAGG